rnacentral:rRNA from 1 species
CCUACGGGUGGCAGCAGUGAGGAAUAUUGGUCAAUGGUCGGGAGACUGAACCAGCCAAGCCGCGUGAGGGAUGAAGGUACAGAGUAUCGUAAACCUCUUUUGUCAGGGAACAAAGGCGGGGACGUGUCCCCGGAUGCGUGUACCUGAAGAAAAAGCAUCGGCUAACUCCGUGCCAGCAGCCGCGGUAAUACGGAGGGUGCGGGCGUUAUCCGGAUUUAUUGGGUUUAAAGGGUGCGCAGGCGGGUCGUUAAGUCAGCCGGCAAAUCGCGUGGCUCAACCCCGGGCCGGCGGUUGAAACUGGCAGUCUCGAGUUGGAGAGAGGUAUGCGGAAUGCGCGGUGUAGCGGUGAAAUGCAUAGAUAUCGCGCAGAACUCCGAUUGCGAAGGCAGCAUGCCGGCUCCACACUGACGCUGAGGCACGAAAGCGUGGGUAUCGAACAGGAUUAGAUACCCGUGUAGUC